rnacentral:rRNA from 1 species
AGAGUUUGAUCAUGGCUCAGAUUGAACGCUGGCGGCAUGCCUAACACAUGCAAGUCGAACGGUAACAGGCCGCAAGGUGCUGACGAGUGGCGGACGGGUGAGUAAUACGUAGGUAUCUGCCCUGUAGUGGGGGAUAACCCGGGGAAACUCGGGCUAAUACCGCAUACGCUCUUUUAUCGUUGAGAUAGGAGAGGAAAGCGAGGGACCGAAAGGCCUCGCGCUAGAGGAUGAGCCUACGCCCGAUUAGCUAGUUGGUAGGGUAAAAGCCUACCAAGGCGACGAUCGGUAGCUGGUCUGAGAGGAUGGCCAGCCACACUGGGACUGAGACACGGCCCAGACUCCUACGGGAGGCAGCAGUGGGGAAUAUUGGACAAUGGGGGGAAACCCUGAUCCAGCGAUGCCGCGUGGGUGAAGAAGGCCUGCGGGUUGUAAAGCCCUUUCAGUGGGGAAGAAAAACGGGGUGUGAACAGCGCUUCGUUUUGACGUUACCCACAGAAGAAGCACCGGCUAACUCCGUGCCAGCAGCCGCGGUAAUACGGAGGGUGCGAGCGUUAAUCGGAAUUACUGGGCGUAAAGGGGCGCGUAGGCGGUUAGGUAAGUCGAGUGUGAAAGCCCUGGGCUUAACCUGGGAAUGGCAUUCGAGACUACCUAUCUAGAGUCUGGUAGAGGGAAGUGGAAUUUCCGGUGUAGCGGUGAAAUGUGUAGAUAUCGGAAGGAACACCAGUGGCGAAGGCGGCUCGCUGGGCCAUUCCUGACGCUGAGACGCGAAAGCUAGGGGAGCGAACAGGAUUAGAUACCCUGGUAGUCC